ensembl:snRNA U6 U6 spliceosomal RNA
GUGCUCACUUCGGCAGCACAUAUACUAAAACUGGAAAGAUACAGAGAAGAUUAGCAUGGCCCCUGUGCAAGGAUGACAUGCAAAUUCAUGAAGCGUUCCAUAUUUUU